AUUGAACGCUGGCGGCAGGCCUAACACAUGCAAGUCGAGCGGAUGAAGGGAGCUUGCUCCUGGAUUCAGCGGCGGACGGGUGAGUAAUGCCUAGGAAUCUGCCUGGUAGUGGGGGAUAACGUCCGGAAACGGGCGCUAAUACCGCAUACGUCCUGAGGGAGAAAGUGGGGGAUCUUCGGACCUCACGCUAUCAGAUGAGCCUAGGUCGGAUUAGCUAGUUGGUGGGGUAAAGGCCUACCAAGGCGACGAUCCGUAACUGGUCUGAGAGGAUGAUCAGUCACACUGGAACUGAGACACGGUCCAGGCUCCUACGGGAGGCAGCAGUGGGGAAUAUUGGACAAUGGGCGAAAGCCUGAUCCAGCCAUGCCGCGUGUGUGCAGAAGGUCUUCGGAUUGUAAAGCACUUUAAGUUGGGAGGAAGGGCAGUAAGUUAAUACCUUGCUGUUUUGACGUUACCAACAGAAUAAGCACCGGCUAACUUCGUG
rnacentral:rRNA from 1 species